rnacentral:rRNA from 1 species
GAAUGACUCUCGGCAACGGAUAUCUCGGCUCUUGCGUCGAUGAAGAACGUAGCGAAAUGCGAUACUUGGUGUGAAUUGCAGAAUCCCGUGAACCAUCGAGUCUUUGAACGCAAGUUGCGCCCGAAGCCAUUAGGCCGAGGGCACGCCUGCCUGGGUGUCACAC